GCCGUCGUGGUGUAGUGGUCAGCACGCUCGGCGCGUAUUCGAGAGGUCCGUGGUUCGAGUCCCGGCGAGGACA
rnacentral:tRNA from 1 species